rnacentral:lncRNA from 1 species
GCUUCCAAUGACCUCACACAUCCCAACCGGCUUCCCCGCCCCAACUGGUGGGGGCUGGCCGUCAGCCCUCCAGCCCCCUUUUCUCUACACGUCCCGGAAGCCAGGGGCCAACAUGGAUCUUCCUGCCGACAUCAGCUGAGCCUGGAAGCCUCACCCCUUGGGAGACCAUGGAAAGGGUCAGCCGCCAGGUUUGUCUGGGGAAGGAGGCAAGAUUAGUCUCAUUUUACACGUGUGGAGACGCACUUGCCCAAGGUAACCCAGUUAGGAACGGAUGCAGUCAUACUGGAAC